GACGAACGCUGGCGGCGUGCUUAACACAUGCAAGUCGAGCGGAAAGGCCACUUCGGUGGUACUCGAGCGGCGAACGGGUGAGUAACACGUGAGUAAUCUGCCCCUCACUUUGGGAUAGCCACCGGAAACGGUGAUUAAUACCGGAUAUGACCAUAUGUCGCAUGGCGUGUGGUGGAAAGUUUUUCGGUGAGGGAUGUGCUCGCGGCCUAUCAGCUUGAUGGUGAGGUAAUGGCUCACCAUGGCUUCGACGGGUAGCCGGCCUGAGAGGGUGACCGGUCACACUGGGACUGAGACACGGCCCAGACUCCUACGGGAGGCAGCAGUGGGGAAUAUUGGACAAUGGGCGGAAGCCUGAUCCAGCAACGCCGCGUGAGGGAUGACGGCCUUCGGGUUGUAAACCUCUUUCAGUACCGACGAAGCGCAAGUGACGGUAGGUACAGAAGAAGCACCGGCCAACUGCGUG
rnacentral:rRNA from 1 species